rnacentral:rRNA from 1 species
GGGUUGUGAGGUUAAGCGACUAAGCGUACACGGUGGAUGCCCUGGCAGUCAGAGGCGAUGAAGGGCGUGCUAAUCUGCGAUAAGCGCCGGUAAGGUGAUAUGAACCGUUAUAACCGGCGAUACCCGAAUGGGGAAACCCAGUGUGAUUCGUCACACUAUCAUUAACUGAAUCCAUAGGUUAAUGAGGCGAACCGGGGGAACUGAAACAUCUAAGUACCCCGAGGAAAAGAAAUCAACCGAGAUUCCCCCAGUAGCGGCGAGCGAACGGGGAGGAGCCCAGAGCCUGAAUCAGCAUGUGUGUUAGUGGAAGCGUCUGGAAAGGCGCGCGAUACAGGGUGACAGCCCCGUACACAAAAGCGCAUGUGCUGUGAGCUCGAUGAGUAGGGCGGGACACGUGGUAUCCUGUCUGAAUAUGGGGGGACCAUCCUCCAAGGCUAAAUACUCCUGACUGACCGAUAGUGAACCAGUACCGUGAGGGAAAGGCGAAAAGAACCCCGGCGAGGGGAGUGAAAAAGAACCUGAAACCGUGUACGUACAAGCAGUGGGAGCACCCUUUUGGGUGUGACUGCGUACCUUUUGUAUAAUGGGUCAGCGACUUAUAUUCUGUAGCAAGGUUAACCGAAUAGGGGAGCCG